UAGGGAAUCUUCGGCAAUGGGGGGAACCCUGACCGAGCAACGCCGCGUGAGUGAAGAAGGUUUUCGGAUCGUAAAGCUCUGUUGUUAAGGAAGAACGAGUGUGAGAAUGGAAAGUUCAUGCUGUGACGGUACUUAACCAGAAAGGGACGGCUAACUACGUGCCAGCAGCCGCGGUAAUACGUAGGUCCCGAGCGUUGUCCGGAUUUAUUGGGCGUAAAGCGAGCGCAGGCGGUUAGAAAAGUCUGAAGUGAAAGGCAGUGGCUCAACCAUUGUAGGCUUUGGAAACUGUUUAACUUGAGUGCAGAAGGGGAGAGUGGAAUUCCAUGUGUAGCGGUGAAAUGCGUAGAUAUAUGGAGGAACACCGGUGGCGAAAGCGGCUCUCUGGUCUGUAACUGACGCUGGGGCUCGAAAGCGUGGGGAGCGAACAGG
rnacentral:rRNA from 2 species